rnacentral:lncRNA from 1 species
AUACAUGUUAUAAUAAUUUAAUUAGGCUAUAAUAAGUGUAGAUACUUUGGCUACAAUAACUACUACGGCCAUUUAUUUGGGACUUCAAAAAUCAAUUUUCGUAGUUAGGCCACGUUCAGCAUUGUGUCAAUUAAUUGGGUUUCAAUGUGUCAUUCAAUUAAAGUUUCGAUAUCAUACAAAGUUUUGGUCAAUGCAACUUUUAGUUGGAUGACAAGUUAAUUU